rnacentral:rRNA from 1 species
UACGUAGGGGGCAAGCGCUUUUCGGAUUUACUGGGCGUAAAGGGCGCGUAGGCGGCGCGUAAAGUCGGACAUGAAAUCAUUAGGCUCAACCUAAUGGCUGUGUCCGAUACUUGCGUGCUUGGAGUGUGGGAGAGGCAGCCGGAAUUCUCGGUGUAGCGGUGAAAUGCGUAGAUAUCGAGAGGAACACCGGUGACGAAGGUGGGUUGCUGGACCGACACUGACGCUGAGGCGCGAAAGCUAGGGGAGCAAACGGG